rnacentral:lncRNA from 1 species
GCAAAAAAAGAAAAAAAAAAAGAAAAUUUAUAGCUUUAUGUUACUUCAAAUUCUUAACAAGAUUUAUUAAUCGAAUAUUGAACUUCACAUAUACCUGGUGUGUAGUUGAAAUCUGGAUGCCUAUAAAAGAGAUGAUUAAAAAAACAAAUUGGAGGAAUUCAUAAUUCCUGGCAUCAGUUGACAAGUUAGACAAAAGAAUUAAGAUUGCUUCUCUAUUUUGAGCAAAACACACACCAACAGAGAUCAGAAACUUGACAAAGAAGCCUGUACCCUGAUGAAAACAAGUCCCCAGUAUCAGUGUUGAGUUUGGGAUUUGUUGGAUCCAAUGGAAUGACGGUGCAACUAACUUGGUUCAAAACAAGGUAGAGGGUCAAUGCUACUGACAAUAUCGAGAUGUUGAGGACUAAGUUGACUCCUUGGAUCAGGGAAUGUAUCCGAGCUUGAAUGUGGUACUUCAACAAGAUGGUGUACCAACACACACAGCAAAGAUUACAUGGCCCUUUUUGAGAUGAAUAAUCUGUUCAGCUGGAAAACAAUGGGACCUCUAUUCUCGCCAGAUGCAAACCCACUAGACUUUUUCUCCUGGUCACAUGUGGAGGCCAAGGCCUGUUGGACAAGGGCGCCGAAUCUCAAAACUCUCGAGGCUUCUAGUGAUGAUCAUUGGAACUGCAUGAGCUCUAAUUACAUUAUUAGCACCUGUGAGAGCUUCCAGCGGCGUAUCUCGGUCAUUAUCAAAAUCGAUGGAGGCUAUAUUGAGGAUUAAAUAUGGCAACAAUGUGCCAACAUCUGUAAAAAGUUUAUUUCACGUAGCUCUCCUUGUUUCCUAAAUAAAACUUGUUAGAAUUCCA